rnacentral:rRNA from 1 species
GUAGGUGGCAAGCGUUGUCCGGAAUUAUUGGGCGUAAAGCGCGCGCAGGCGGGGUCCUUUAAGUCUGAUGUGAAAGCCCACGGGCUCAACCGUGGAGGGUCAUUGGAAACUGGGGGACUUGAGUACAGAAGAGGAAAGCGGAAUUCCAAGUGUAGCGGUGAAAUGCGUAGAGAUUUGGAGGAGCACCAGUGGCGAAGGCGGCUUUCUGGUCUGUAACUGACGCUGAGGCGCGAAAGCGUGGGGAGCAAACAGGAUUAGAUACCCUGGUAGUCCACGCCGUAAACGAUGAGUGCUAAGUGUUAGGGGGUUUCCGCCCCUUAGUGCUGCAGCUAACGCAUUAAGCACUCCGCCUGGGGAGUACGGCCGCAAGGCUG